AGAGCGAACGCUGGCGGCAGGCCUAAUACAUGCAAGUCGAACGGAUCCUUCGGGAUUAGUGGCGGACGGGUGAGUAACACGUGGGAACGUGCCCUUUGGUUCGGAACAACUCAGGGAAACUUGAGCUAAUACCGAAUGUGCCCUUCGGGGGAAAGAUUUAUCGCCAUUGGAGCGGCCCGCGUCUGAUUAGCUAGUUGGUGAGGUAAAGGCUCACCAAGGCGACGAUCAGUAGCUGGUCUGAGAGGAUGAUCAGCCACACUGGGACUGAGACACGGCCCAGACUCCUACGGGAGGCAGCAGUAGGGAAUCUUGCGCAAUGGGCGAAAGCCUGACGCAGCCAUGCCGCGUGAAUGAUGAAGGCCUUAGGAUUGUAAAAUUCUUUCAGCGGGGUACGAUAAUGACGGUACCCGCAGAAGAAGCCCCGGCUAACUUCGUGCCAGCCAGCCGC
rnacentral:rRNA from 1 species